GAUGAACGCUGGCGGCGUGCCUAAUACAUGCAAGUCGAGCGAACGGACGAGAAGCUUGCUUCUCUGAUGUUAGCGGCGGACGGGUGAGUAACACGUGGAUAACCUACCUAUAAGACUGGGAUAACUUCGGGAAACCGGAGCUAAUACCGGAUAAUAUUUUGAACCGCAUGGUUCAAAAGUGAAAGACGGUCUUGCUGUCACUUAUAGAUGGAUCCGCGCUGCAUUAGCUAGUUGGUGAGGUAACGGCUUACCAAGGCAACGAUGCAUAGCCGACCUGAGAGGGUGAUCGGCCACACUGGAACUGAGACACGGUCCAGACUUCUACGGGAGGCAGCAGUAGGGAAUCUUCCGCAAUGGGCGAAAGCCUGACGGAGCAACGCCGCGUGAGUGAUGAAGGUCUUCGGAUCGUAAAACUCUGUUAUUAGGGAAGAACAUAUGUGUAAGUAACUGUGCACAUCUUGACGGUACCUAAUCAGAAAGCCACGGCUAACUACGUG
rnacentral:rRNA from 1 species